ensembl:lncRNA
UCAUGAAGCCAAGCAGAUCGGACAAGGCUGUGUCUGGAGGUCAGUGUUGCAUGCCUGAACAAACUUCUGAGCUGCUCCUGUCACAAGUAUAUAGUAAAAGAAUUUGUCUUCCUUCGGGAUGGAUGUGCACUUUGCCCCCUGCAGAUUAUAGGUGGGUGUCAAAGGCUCUGUUCAGGUGGUCUCCUGAGAUGCAGCCUGAAAUGGACUAUGCUAGAGUGGAUAGGAUGUGGUGGUACCCGCCGUUCCCACCUCUUACCGUAACUGAAGAGCCAGAGAUGGGAUGCUACUUUGGGCAUUCAUUGUUUCUCUGGAUGCCACAAAAGCUUUGGAACGUGAAACUUAUCUGUCCACAUUCAGACUGCCUGAAGGGAGAGCUCACAUCAGCAGGCCUGCAUCAGGAGCUCAGGCAGGUAGUCGACAUGGAAGGGUCAUACUUCAUGGCAUCCGAGCGUCUUGUUUGUGGGAAAUGCAAGAGGAAAUGGAUUAGCUGGAGUCAUGAUGUAGUGUCACAACUUGAUAUUGGUCAUAGAGUCCAGUUCCCUUGUAUUCUUGCAUCACAGGUGGCUUGUGACAUGAAGGUUGUUCACUUUAACCGUCUGAGACAUUUGGGGCCUAGUGUCAGCCAAAUCCAUAAGAAACUGGAGGAACGUCACACUGAGGUUUGGCUGCAAAAGACAGUUCGGUAUCUAACAGAUUGCAGAAGCUUUGCCCAAGCUCCUCAGUUUCAAGAUCCACCUGCCAUGCCUCUCCUUCCCAAACAUUGUUGGUUGAGGCAAGUGUUCGCUCUGGACGUACUUCACAGAAUGAAUGAGAUCAAGGCCAGCAUAACUUCGACGUUUGGUAGUGUGCUAAAGAUGGGUUCCACCAAAGAGUGUCUCAGGAACUUCUCGGGAACUUGGGUGACCAGUGUUUUCAAUGAACACGGGCAGGCUGUCAUGUCGGUGCUCACAGAAAACAAAGAGUCUGGUCUUGAGGGGAUGAUCUCCGGUGUCAUAAAUAGAUACAAGGAAGCCGCAGUGGCUCCUCCUGAAGUUCUGUAUGUUGAUGGAGACUGCUGUGGGUCCAACUCUCUCAGAAAAACAUUCAAUGAGUGGAAGGAGGUGGAGGUCAGGUUGAACAUCUCCGAAUUCAUGCGAAGGAUUUCUGUGGGCUGCACGUCAGAGUCCCAUCAGAUAUACCCAACGUUCAUGGACCGCCUCACCCACUGUAUUUUCAAAUGGGAUGAGGAGGACCUGAAGCAGCUGAAGGAGGCAAAGCAUAAUGAGCUCAAUUCCGAUAUCAUCCAGCCUCCUAAUGAUGAACUAAUGCAUCACCUCAGCAGAAGCGAGUUGGCCCUCCACUGUAGACGAGCCACGCGUGAUGUAAGGGAAAUCGAAGAACUCAUCACAGCACUCAUUCGGCUCUAUGAUGGGGAGGCGGGAUGGGACUCAUCAGGAGUGCCUCUCUUCAGUUCCAAUAUAAUGGCUGAGAUGUGGGAUUCCCAGAAGAAACAUCUGCCGUGUCUAGUGGAUCCUCUUGGUGUACCACUGUAUGAGCAGACUGGGACACUGGUGAAGGGAGGCCACCUUCUGCCAAUCUACAAAUGUUUCAGAGAUUCCACCUCCAUUGAAUCCUUCCACCAGCAUCUGAACCAGCUCAUUCCAGUAAAUCAGUUAUCAGUCAAUUUUGUUUUGUUUGUUUGUUUUAGUCUCUUAUGCUCAAAAGGCACUACACUGCUAUGUCGGCAGUGUGCCUGACUACUACUGUAGACAGCCAUAAUCAAAAUACCAGUCUACACUGCAGUAGCUCAGUGUUGCAAUGCUUGCAAUUGACAGUUUUAUUGAUUUUUAUAUUUUUUAUGAUAAUUAUGUGUAUGAUGAUGUGUUUGCACAAUGUCUGAACACCGUAUGAAACAUUAGUACGCUUUGUGAAAUAUAAAGAGAUUUCAUGGCAUUGUGUAUUAUAUUUCAGAGGUGCCAGCUUGUUCUACAUUUCUUCAAAUUGAGUUUUUGGCUGGAUUGGUCAGGUGGAAUGAAGCGACUGCCGUGGCCUCAGAGGGCCCGCAGACACCUCAGUCUUGCAUUGGGGUUCUCCAACAAGCUGUCAACCAGCUCGGAGAGGAAGUGCUUGGAAACAACAUUGUGUCUACUAUCAGUACAAGUAAAUACACUU